rnacentral:ncRNA from 3 species
GACGAAGGGGGCUAGCGUUGUUCGGAAUUACUGGGCGUAAAGAGCGCGUAGGCGGUCUGGUAAGUUGGGAGUGAAAGCCCGGGGCUUAACCUCGGAAUUGCUUUCAAAACUGCCAGGCUAGAGUGUAGUAGGGGAUGAUGGAAUUCCUAGUGUAGAGGUGAAAUUCUUAGAUAUUAGGAGGAACACCGGUGGCGAAGGCGGUCAUCUGGGCUACAACUGACGCUGAGGCGCGAAAGCGUGGGGAGCAAACAGG